rnacentral:rRNA from 1 species
UUGAACGCUGGCGGCGUGCCUAACACAUGCAAGUCGAGCGAGAAAGUCUCUUCGGAGAUGAGUAGAGCGGCGCACGGGUGAGUAACGCGUGGAUAAUCUGCCUAUUGGUUCGGGAUAACAGUUGGAAACGACUGCUAAUACCGGAUAGUCUGGCAACGGUAAAGGGGCCUCUUCUUGAAAGCUCUCGCCAGUAGAUGAGUCCGCGUUGCAUUAGCUAGACGGUGGGUAACGGCCUACCGUGGCAACGAUGCAUAGCCGGUUUGAGAGGAUGAUCGGCCACACUGGGACUGGAACACGGCCCAGACUCCUACGGGA